UAACCGCACGAACAACACAAACAUGCUACUUUCACAAGGCCUUUAGCUAGGGUUUGCUGGGCUUGCUUCACCUACCACCACCCCCAGAUAAUGUGUUAAAAUCAGAAGUGGUUGGAAACUCCAGCUGCCCCGGAACAAAAGGUCAGAGGCGACCCCAAGUGGCCCUGCUGCGGAUCACACAGCUUUGCAGGGCUCCCACCUUAUCCUUGCAUGCCAAGGGAUCGCCGGAGCCAGUGAGGACAGCGACCGGAGCCGGAGGAGGAUCGGAGGCCGGUCUGUUCCGAGACCGGCGGUACAUUCGCGUCGUCCCCGGCCAGGCGUGGCUCAGGCUCGCAUGAUUAGGGAAAGGUGGUGGUGUAGCAAUGCAUGAGCAAGCAGGGGCCAGGGAGGCGGAGGGAGAUGAGAUCGAUCCGUGGCGAUGAAGCUGCUACGCCCGCCGGUUAGCGGGUCACCAAGCCGUGCCCGAACAGUUGCUCUUUUCGGCAAGUCUGCAAAGGCAAAGCGGGAGAAGGAUGCGUCACCCAACUCGCCGGAUAUUUUGGAUUCACUCCAUGGCAAGAUGUUGUCAGAUAUGGAUCUCCGGGUACCCACAAUGAAGCUACCCGCAAGGAAAGAAAAAGUCGGACUCCAAUUAGGAUUUCACUAUAAUCCUACUAAGACUUCUACCUUGUAACCGACUAGUAUCACACCGCUAGAGUAUAUAAAGAAGGGUAGUGGUACCUAGAUUGGAGAAUUGAGUCAAACCUAAAAUAGGGCAACACAACACCCAAAUCCAAGACGCAAUAUACAAAACAUCAAACAAGACGUAAGGAUGCUAGCACUUUUUUUGGAGUUACUGCAGGAUUUAAUUGACAAGAAAAAACAUGAAUCUCUAUGUUAGAGGUUCCUUGUAGCGGAACCUGCCCAUCGAUAUGCAAGACCUCAACUUGGUAUGGAUGCUAGUACCAUUUUUGGAGUUA